rnacentral:rRNA from 1 species
UACGGAGGGUGCAAGCGUUGUCCGGAAUCACUGGGCGUAAAGGGCGCGUAGGCGGCCCGGUAAGUAGGGGGUGAAAUCCUGCGGCUUAACCGCAGGGCUGCCUUCUAAACUGUCGGGCUCGAGCACGGUAGAGGCAGAUGGAAUUCCCGGUGUAGCGGUGGAAUGCGUAGAGAUCGGGAAGAACAUCAGUGGCGAAGGCGGUCUGCUGGGCCGUUGCUGACGCUGAGGCGCGAAAGCGUGGGGAGCGAUCCGG